rnacentral:lncRNA from 1 species
GAAGUGGGUAAAAAUCUGUAAAGCCACGUUACCAUUAGCACGCAGAGAGCCUUUUCUGGAGAUUGAAAGGAAGUUGAAGAGCUGGGUUAGCUAUCAUCGUAAGCUAUCAUCGUUAGUGAUGGCGUAAACCUGGGUAAUUUUCCUCUAAUGUCGCGAUUGUCCUCUGAUUUGUAAGUUUAAAAAUAGCCUCAGAAAAGGCUUGGCUGUACUUGCAGAGGAUUUUUCCCACUCAAUGAUGUUCGAUUCUUUUGAUUCUUAUUGCUAGGUAAUAUUGUAAUCGCAGGUCCAGUGAAAUUUGAGGGUAGUCUAGAGUCUGACAGAAAUUAAAAGAAGGCAGCUUCUGGGAAAUAUUUUCCUCCCAGAUAAAAAGACGAAGCUUCCAGAGGAGACUUCACCUUUCCAUUUUUUUCUUCUGUAAGUGGGGUGGUGUGAGGACUGACCAUGAGGGGACAAGUUUCCAGAUGAAAAGCUCACGUGCAGGCCGGGCGCGGUGGCUCAGGUCUGUAAUCCCAGUACUUUGGGAGGCCGAGGUGGGUGGAUCACGAGAUCAGGAGGUCGAGACCAUCCUGGCCAACAUGGUGAAACCCCAUUUCUACUAAAAAUACAAAAAUUAGCCGGGCGUGGUGGUGGGCGCCUGUAAUCCCAGCUACUCGGGAGGCUGAGGCAGGAGAAUCACUUGAACCCGGGAUGCAGAGGUUGCAGUGAGCCGGGAUUGUGCCACUGCACUCCAGCCUGGGCAACAAGAGCGAGACUCCGUCUCAAAAAAAAAAAAAAAAAGGAAAGAAAAACUCACGUGCUGAAGAUGGUUGAGGGCAAAGAUAGAAAACACCCAAAUACUUGAUGAUAUCAUUGAGCUGCUGUACCAUGCUUGGAACUGCCUAUCUCCAGACUUUGUUGUGUAAGUUAAUUAAAGGUCUUGGCCGGGUGCAGUGGCUCAUACCUGUAAUCUCAUCACUUUGGGAGGCUGAGGUGGUCUCGAUAACUAGGUCAAGAGAUCGAGACCAGCCUGGCCAACAUGGUGAAAUCCUGUCUCUACUAAAAAUACAAAAAACAAAAAAACAAAAUAACUAGGCGGGCGUGGUGGUGCAUACCUGUAGUCCCAGCUACUAGGGAGGCUGAGGCAGGAGAAUCGCUUGAAUCCGGGAGGUGGAGGUUGCAGUGAGCCGAGGUGGAGCCACCUCACUCUAGCCUGGGCGACAGACUCCAUCUCAAAAAAAAAAAAAAAAAGAUGAUUAAAGGUCUUUACUGUUUAGACUCUAAGUCUGUUGCUUGGGUGUUCUGUUUCUUGAAGUUAAAAGCAUUCAUCUUCAGGGAAAAAAGUUACUGGUCAGAAAGGUGGAGUUUGAUUAUGUUUGAACCCUUACAAAGUCUCUCAAUAUGCAGAUUACUUUCUAAACAACAAAUUAUAGUUUCAGAAAGAUACAAUAACCUGAAAUUAUUUCAGUGACUGCUCAUUUGGAACGAUUAUGAAUGUACCUGACAGAUAUGGCGAAAAUAGGAGGCAAAGAACUAUAAUACUGAUUUAGUAAUAAUUAGUGGUAUGAGCUAACACUUGCAUAUGUUGGAUGCUAUUAUAAACAUCAAUAGAUUUUUGAUAUGGAAACACUGAUUUUUUUUUAGAGAUUACUUUUAAAACUCAAUACAAUUAGAAGUAAUUACAAAUAUACAGCUACAGAACACUUGGCAGGGUGACUAUCUUACAGUACACUGCUACUUUGGUGGCCCCAAAUGAACCAGGCUUCCCAAUAUUUGCACCUUUAGGAGUUCUCUUCUCUUGAGUCUGAUUGGGCCUGUCACUUGCUUUAAUCAAUAGUAGAAUGCGUUGGAAGUGAUGUUAUGCCAGUUUGGGACUAUGCCUUAAGAAGGCCUGAUAGCUUCUGUUUUUGCAUUCGGGGGAAGCCAGCUGCUGUGUUAGAAGUUUGACUUCUCAGACUUACUGCCUGUGAAAAGCCCAACCAACCAUGUGAAGAAGAACUGAGGUUUGGGCCAACAGCCUCAGUUGAACUCCCAGCCAGCAGUCAACACCAACUUUUGCCAGCCACGUGAAGAAGGCCAUUUAAAAAGUGGAUUCUCCAGCCCACUGGAGCCACCUCAGGUGACUGCGUGUGGAGCAAAGAAAGGCUAUUUGAGCCCACAUUGCAAAAUUACAAGCAAAUAAAUAAAAUUAUUGUAGUUUUAAGCCACUAAGUUGUUUAAUAAUAGAUAGCUAAAAUGUACAGGCAAACUUGGAAGAUACUGUGGGUUGGGUUCCAGACCACUACAAUAAAGCCAAUAUCAUAAUAAAGUGAGUCACAGGGAUUUUUUUGUUUUGCAGUGCAUAUAAAAGUUAUGUUGGGCCGGCAUGGUGGCUCAGGCCUGUAAUCUCAGCACUUUGGGAGGCUGAGGCAGGUGGAUCGCUUGAGCUCAGGAGUUUGAGACCAACCUUGGUAACAUGGUAAGACCCCAUCUCUUAAAAAAAAAAAUACUAGGCCGGGUGUGGUGGCUCAUGCCUGUAAUCCUAGCACUUUGGGAGGCCGAGGUGGGUGGAUCACUUGAGGUCAGGAGUUUGAGACCAGCCUGGCCAACAUGGUGAAACCCGUCUCUAUUAAAAAUACAAAAAUUAGCCAAGCGUGGUGGUGGGCACCUGUAAUCCCAGCUACUUGGGAGGUUGAAACAGGAGAAUUGCUUGAACCUGGGAGGUGGAGGUUGCAGUGAGCCGAGAUCAUGCCAUUGCACUCCAGCCUGGGCAACAAGAGUGAAACUCCAUCUCAAAAAAAAAAAAAGAAAAAGUUAUGUUUACACUAUACUGUAGUCUCUUAAGUGUGCAAUAACAUGUUUAAAAAACAAUGUACAUACCUUAAUUUGAAAAUAUUAUAUCGCUUAAAAAUGUUGAUGAUCAUCUGAGCCUUCAGCAAGUCAUAUUUUUACUGGUGGAGGGUCUUGCCUUGAUGUUUGUUGACUAUCAAGGUGGUGGUUGCUGAAGGUUGGGGUGGCAUAAAAUAAGACAAUGAAGUUUGCUGCAUCAAUUGACUAUGCUUUUCAUGAAAGAUUUCUCUAUAGCAUGUGAUGCUGUUUGAAAGGAUUUUACCCACGGUAGAACUUCUUUCAAAAUUGGAGUUAGUCCUCUCAAACCCUGCUGCUGCUUUGUCAAUUAAGUUUAUAUGAUAUUUUAAAUCUUUUGUUGUCAUUUCAACAAUGUUCAUAGCAACUUCACCAUGAGUAGAUGUCAUCUCAAAAAACCACUUUGUCUAGAAGAAGCAACUCCUCAUCUCUUAAAGUUUUAUCAUGAGAUUGUAGCAAUUCAGUCACAUCUUCAGACUCCACUUCCAAUUCUAGUUCUCUUGCUGUUUCUACCACAUCUGCAGUUACAUCCCUCCAUAAAGUCUUAGACUCCUCAACAUCAACCAUGAGGGUUGGAAUCAACUUCUUCUAAACUCCAGUUAAUGUUGAUAUUUUCACCUCCUCCCAUGAAUCACAAAUGCUCUUAAUGGCAUCUAGGAGGGUGAAUCCUUUCCAAAAGGUUUUCAAUUGACUUUGCCCAGAUCCAUCAUAGGAAUUGCUAUCUAUGGCCGCCAUAACUUUACAAAAUAUAUUUCUUAAAUAAUAGACUUGAAAGUCAAAAGUACUUCUUGAUCCACAGGCUAAGGAAAAGAUUUUGUGUUAGCAGGCAUGAAAACAACAUUAAUCUCCUUGUACAUCUCGAUCAGAGCUAUAGGGUGACAAGGUGCACUAUCAAUGGUCAGUAAUUUUUUUUUUAAUGGAGACUGAGUCUUGCUGUGUUGCCUAGACUGGUCUCGAACUCCUGGCCUCAAGUGAUUUUCCUGCCUUGGCCUCCUUAAAUGUUGGGGUUACAGGCAUGAGCCACUGUGCCCAGCCUGCAAUAAUAUUUUGAUAGGAAUCUUUUUUUCUGAGGGGUAGGUAUCAAUAAUGAGCUUAACAUAUUCAGCAAACUGUAGGGUAAACAGAUAUGCUGUCAUCCAGGCUUUGUUGUUCCCUUUAUAGAACACAGGCAGAGUAGAUUUCGCAUAAUUUUUUUUUUAAGAGACAAGAUCUCUCUCCGUUGCCCAGACUGGAGUGCAGUGGUGUGAUCAUGGCUCACUGUAGCCUUGAUCUCCCAGGUUCAAGUGAUCUUCCUGCCUCAGGCUCCUGAGUAGCUGAGACUACAGGUGCAACUAAUUUUUGUGGGUUUUUUUGUAGAGAUAAAGUUUUGCCAUGUUGCCCAGGCUGGUCUCAAACUCCUGGGCUCCAGUGAUCUACACAGCUACCUUGGUGUGUCCCAAAGUGUUGGGGGUUAUAGGUGUGAGCCAGCAUGCCUGUCCUGACAGUUUUUUUUUUUUUUAAAGCACUUUAAAUGUAUUAUCCCACUGCGUUCUGGCAUCCAGGGUUUCUGCUGAGAAAAUGGCCAGUAGUCUUUUUUUUUUUCUUUUCCCUCAGAGUGAUUGGACUUCAGCUGAUAGUGUUAUUGAGGAUCACUUGUACAUUAUGAGUUGCUUCUCUCUUGCUGCUGUCAAGAUUCUCUGUCUUUCAACAGUUUGAUUAUAAUGUGUCUCAGUGUGAGUCUCUUUGGAUUUAUUUUACUUGGAGUUUAUUGAGAUUCUUGGAUUUGUAGAUUAGUGCCUUUCAUCAAAUUUGGGAAGUUUGCAGCCAUUUCUUCAAAUAAUCUUUUUGCCCCUUUCUCUAACCCCUCUUUGGGAAUCGUAAUGCAUAUGUUGGUCUACUUAAUGGUAUUCCACAAGUUCCUUGGUCUCUGUCCACUUUUCUUUUUUUCUUUUUUUGAGACAGAGCCUCACUCUGUUGCCCAGGCUAGAGUGCAGUGACACAAUCUUGGCUCACUGCAACCUCUGCCUCCCAGGUUCAAGCAAUUUUCCUGCCUCAGCCUUCUGAGUAGUUGGGAUUACAGGCACUCAUCACCAUGUCCAGCUAAUUUUUGUAUUUUUGGCAGAGAUAAGGUUUUGCUGUGUUGGCCAGGCUGUUUUCGAACUCCUGACCUCAAGUGAUCCACCCGCCUUGACCUCCCAAAGUGCUGAGAUUACAGGCAUGAGCCACCUCACUUGGCCUAUCCACUUUUCUUUAUUUAUUUUUCUUUAUGCUCCUCAGAUUUGAAAAUUUCAAUUGUCUUAUUUUCAAGUUCACUGAUUCUUCUGUGUUUGAGCUCCUCUAGUAAAUUUUCAUUUCAGUUAUUGUGUCUUUCAGCUAUAGAAUUUCUGUUUAGCUCCUUUUUACAAUUUUUGUCCCUUUCUUGGUUUUCUAAUUUUGUUAAUAUACCAUUUUCCUGAUUUCCUUUAGUUUUUUGCCCAUGUUUUCUUUUAGCUCUUUGAGCAAAUUUAAGACAAUUGUUUUAAAGUCUUUGGUAAGUCAAAUGUCUGGAUGUCCUCAGAAAUGGUUUCUGCCAAUUAAUUUUACUCCUUUGAAUGUGCCAUGUUUUCCUGUUUCUUUGUAUGCCUUGUAAUUUUUGUAGUUUUUGUUGAAAAGUAGACAUUUGAAAAAACAGCUAACUCCCCUAGUCUUUGCAGAUUGGCUCUAUACUGGUACAGUUCUUCAGCACUGAGCAAGGCUUGCUUUGAGCCUAGGGAUCAGCUGAGGUGAAGGCUUAAGGUCUUUUCAGGGCUUUUCUGACCAAGUGUCUUACCUGGGCAUGUGUAACUUCCCAAUUUCCCCAUAUACAUGGCUGCUUUUGAAUGUCUUAUUUCCUAAAGAGUCUCAGUCCGGUUUCUCCUGGGGCCUUACAUGGUCUACUGUAUGUAUCCACCCAUAGUCUUUUACUCCACAUGUCAGUGGGUCUGUAGUCUCCUUGCAGCUUUCAUGAGCAAUGACUACCGCUUUUCUGAGACCUGAGGCCAGUCCUUUAGGUAACCCCCAUAUGCGCACAAUAAUUUGCAAAAAGCUUUGCUCUUCUCCCUUCCAUUUAAGGGAGGGAACUUGGAAUUAGGCUGCUGCCUCUUCCAGACUAAGAGCACUGCCGCAUCAGGGAGGAGGAGGGGACGAGGGCAAAUAAAGACACGACAAAACUUUCUUAACAUUUGGAAGGUGGGCAUUCACUUGGUUACUGUAAACCUUUAACUGUUUUUUGGAGCUCUUACAGGUUAGUUCAGCUCAUUUCUGGUUGUUUUAUGAAGUUUCUGUUGGAUAAUGAAAGCUUGGAGCUUUGUCGUCCACCAUUUUGCUGAUAUCACAUGAGCAUCCAUUUUAAUAAGAUAGAAGAAAAGAGCACAUUGGACCUUAAGUAAGUGUAAGAAAAGGAAUAGAAAGUUAAGAGAAUAGGCCAGGCAUGGUGGCUCACACCUGUAAUCCCAGCACUUUGGGAGGCUGAGGUGGGCGGAUCACCGGAGGUCGGGAGUUCAAGACCAGCCUGACCAACAUGGAGAAACCCCGUCUCUACCAAAAAUACAAAAUUAGCUGGGCAUGGUGGCACAUGCAUGUAAUCCCAGCUACUCGGGAGGCUGAGGCAGGAGAAUCGCUUGAACCCGGGAGAUGGAGGUUACAGUGAGCACUCCAGCCUGGGCAACAGGAGUGAAACUUAAUCUCAAAAGAAAAAAAGAAAAAAAGAUCAGGAGUUCAAGACUAGCCUGAGCAACAUAGUGAGAUCUCAUCUCUAAAAAAAAUUUAGGGCCGGUGGCUCACACCUGUAAUCCAGCACUUUGAGAGGCUGAGGCAGGAGGAUCACAAGGUCAGGAGUUUGAGAGCAGCCUGGCUAACAUGGUGAAACCCCAUCUCUACUAAAAAUACAAAAAUUAGCUAGGCACAAUGGCUGGCGCCUGUAAUCCCAGCUACUUGGGAGGCUGAGGCAGGAGAAUUUCUUGAACCCAGGAGGCAGAGGUUGCAGUGAGCUGAGAUCGUGCCUUGCACUCCAGCUGGGGCGACAAGAGCAAGACUCCGUCUCAAAAAACAAAAACAAAAAAAUAAAAGAAAUAAUCUAUAUUUUGAUUAUUGUGGUGGUUAAGUAGGUGAAUACAUUUAUCAAAAUUCAGCAAACUAUUCAUUUAAAUGGGCACAUUUUAUGUAAGUUAUACAUAAAUAAAUUUUAUUCAUAAGUAAAAAAACAGUUUACAGAGGACACUUCCCUGUCAAAAUAGUACAUUUGUCUCGAUUAAUUCAUAUAUUUUGAGUGAAAAAUUUUAAAAAGUUUAUUCUCUGGAUAAUUACUUUGCCUUGUCACCUGGUAUGGACAUUUAGUCUUUGGUGCCUUAUGAGAUAAAUGAAUAAAGUGCUUGGGUAGUUCUGAUGAGAGAGAUUAUGUCUAAGAAUACAUCAGGGAUGGCUUCAUGGAGGAAACCAUUUUUAAUCUUGGCCUUAAUUAAUAGAUACAGAGAAAGAAAGAUAAAAAUAAAGAAAAUAGCAUGGCAUUCCAGGCAGAAUGAACAAUAAAGGAAAACAAUAUUGCCUUUUGCAAAAAUACACUGUUUUUUUUUUUGAGGGACUCUGUGUUUUCAUUGUUUGUAAUAUCACGUCUCCGUGUUAAAGACCUGUGUGUAAUUUUCAGUCAUUAAUUAUGCACGGAUGAUUUCUCCCUAUGCAGAAUGCUGUUUGGGCUUAAUCAGGCAAUCUUUUAAAAGAUGUAGUCUCUAGGGAUUUGCUAUUUAAGAAGUGGAACUAGCUACGUUAUAAUUAAAUAAUUCCUGCUACAGUACCAUGUAAAAGGUCAUUCAUCAUUCAACAUUUAUUUAUUCUACAAAAUAUUUAUCGAGUGCCCAUUAUAUAUCUGGUACUAUUCUAGGCAAUAGAGAUACACAUAAGUCAAUAUUUAUCCCUCAUGGGGCCUAAUAUUCUUUUUUUGUUCUUUUUUUUUAUUAUUAUACUUUACGUUCUAGGGUACACGUGCAUAACAUGCAGGUUUGUUACAUAUGUAUACAUGUGCCGUGUUGGUUUGCUGCACCCGUUAACUCAUCAUUUACAUUGGGUAUUUCUCCUAAUGGUAUCCUUCCCCCAUCCCCCCACCCCACGACAGGCCCCGGUGUGUGAUGUUCCCUGCCCUGUGUCCAAGUGUUCUCAUUGUUCAAUUCCCACCUAUGAGUGAGAACACGCGGUGUUCAGUUUUCUGUCCUUGUGAUAGUUUGCUCAGAAUGAUGGUUUCCAGCUUCAUCCGUGUCACUACAAAGGACAUGAACUCAUCCUUUUUUAUGGCUGCAUAGUAUUCCAUGGUAUAUAUGUGCUACGUUUUCUUAAUCCAGUCUAUCAUCAAUGGACAUUUAGGUUGGUUCCAAGUCUUUGCUAUUGUGAAUAGUGCCGCAAUAAACAUACGUGUGCAUGUGUCUUUAUAGUAUCAUGAUUUAUAAUCCUUUGGGUAUAUACCCAGUAAUGGGGUGGCUGGGUCAAAUGGUAUUUCUAGUUCUAGAUCCCUGAGGAAUCGCCACACUGUCUUCCACAAUGGUUGAACUAGUUUACAGUCCCACCAACAGUGUAAGUGUUCCUAUUUCUCCACAUCCUCUCCAGCACCUGUUGUUUCCUGACUUUUUAAUAAUUGCCAUUCUGACUGAUGUGAGAUGGUAUCUCACUGUGGUUUUGAUUUGCAUUUCUCUGAUGGCCAGUGAUGAUGAGCAUUUUUUCAUGUGUCUGUUGGCUGCAUAAAUGUCUUCUUUUGAGACGUGUCUGUUCAUAUCCUUUGCCCACUUUUCGAUGGGGUUGUUUGAUUUUUUUCUUGUAAAUUUGUUUAAGUUCUUUGUAGAUUUUGGAUAUUAGCCCUUUGUCAGAUGGGUAGAUUGCAAAAAUUUUCUCCCAUUCUGUAGGUUGCCUGUUCACUCUGAUGGUAGUUUCUUUUGCUGUGCAGAAGCUCUUGAGUUUAAUUAGAUCCCAUUUGUCUAUUUUGGUUUUGUUGCCAUUGCUAAUAUUCUUAAAUUAUAUUUAAUAUCAAACAUUCUAAGAAAUCACUCUGUAAUGAAUGUAAAACCACUUUGGGUAGAGAGUAUGAUACCAGUAGUUCUAUUUAAUCUUCCUUUUAAACAAAUAUAUAUUUAUUUUAAAACAUGGGUUUUUCAUGAUUUUUUUUUUGGUUAAAUUUUCAGCAAUGUGUUUAAUACUCCAGGAUACCAAAAAAAAAAAAAAAAAAAAAAAAGCCUGGGGAAUUUAUAGUCUAGAUAUGGAGAAAAUACCUAUACAUGACAUGAUUAAAGUACUUUUAAGUAGAGUGUGUAAUGAAGUUUGAGGUAACAAAAUACAACAGGGUAACUGUGAGGGUGAAAUUGACAUGGGGUCACAAUAUUCAGGGGACAUUUAUGAAGGAGUGUUGGUGAGAUUUUAGUUGGUGCUUCCAGGCAGAGGGAACAAGACAGCAGGCCUGGAAGCAGUGAUGAGUGGGGUAUGUGGAGGACACUGUGAAGACUGGCCUGUAAUAAAGUUUAACCUGUAAUUCCUUUAUAAAGAUUUCCACUUAGGAAAUUAAUCACAGUUAUAUUCAUAGAGGUUCAUUACAGUGUUAUUUAAAAUGAUGAAAAUUGGCCAGACGCGGUGGCUCACGCUUGUAAUCCCAGCACUUUGGGAGGCCGAGGCAGGUGGAUCACGAGGUCAGGAGUUUGAGACCAGCCUGACCAAUAUGGUGAAACCCCCUCUCUACUGAAAAUACAAAAAUUAGCUGGGUGUGGUGGCAUGUGCCUGUAGUCCCAGCUACUCAGGAGGCUGAGACAGGAUAAUUGCUUGAACCCAGGAGGCAGAGGUUGCAGUGAGCCUAGAUCACACCACUGCACUCCAGCCUGGGCAAUACAGGGAGACUCUGUCUCAAACAAACAAACAAAACUCCAAAAAAGAUGAAAAUUGGAGGGAAGUGAUGACAACUGUGACUGUUGUGUGACACUGAUUUCUCUCAUAUUUGUACUGGCUGAUCCUGAGGUGAGUCAAAAAAAGACAAAAAUGUAUAAAAAUAAAGAAAAAUAAAAUGAUUAAAAAAUGGAAACAACUGACAUUUUAAUCAAUAGGGGAAUAGAAAUGACUUAGACUGUAUUCAUUCAAUAGAGCAAUAUGUAGCCAUUUCAAAACAUGUUUUUGAUAACAAGGUGGUAAAAUGUCCAUGAUGAAAUAAAAAUGUUCAGGCCAGGCGCCGUGGCUCACGCCUGUAAUCCCAGAACUUUGGGAGGCUGAGGCGGGUGGAUCACGAGGUCAGGAGAUCGAGACCAUCCUGGCUAACAUGAUGAAACCCCAUCUCUACUAAAAAUACACGAAAAAAUUAGCCGGGUGUCGUGGCGGGUGUCGGUAGUCCCAGCUACUUGGGAGGCUGAGGCAGGAGAAUGGUGUGAACCCGGGAGGCAGAGGAGGUUGCAUGAGCCGAGAUUGUGCCACUGCACUCCAGCCUGGGUGACUGAGCAAGACUCCGUCUCAAAAAAAAAAAGAAAAAUGUUCAUAAUUAUGUAAAAGAAGCAGAAUAUAAAACUGUAAGUACAUUAUGAUGGUAAUUUUAUGAAAAUGAAAAAAAAUAUGUAUAUCUUAGAAAAAAAGCCUGGAACAAAAUACUCCAAACAUUUUAUUUACUUUAAUAUAAUUUAUGUAUUUAUUUUAUAGAGACAGGUUCUCCCUAUGUUGCCCAGGCUGGUCUUGAACUCCUGGGCUCAAGUGAUCCUUCUGCCUCAGCCUCCCAAAUUUCUGGGAUUACAGGCAUGAGCCACCAUGCCUGGCCUCCAAAUAUUUUAUGAUGGUUAUCACUUGUUGAUGGAAUUAUAGGUGAUUUUUAUUUCCAUCUUUAUAUUUUUCUGUAAUUUUAACAUUUAUUGUAAUGAUUACAUAUUUUGUUUAUGCUCUUAGAUAAUAUUUGUAUUAGUUUGCUAGAGCUGCCAUACCAAAAUACCAUGCACUUGGUUGCUUACACAACAGAAAUUCAUUUUCUCAUAGUUCUGGAGGCUAGAAGUCCAUGAUCAAGGUACCAGUAGGCCUGGUUUCUUCUGAAGCCUGAUUCCGUGGUUUGCAGGUGGCUACUUUCCCACUCUGUCUUCAUAUGGUUUUCCCUCUGUCUGCACAUGUUUCUGGUGUCUCCUGGUAUGCCUAAAUUUCUCCUUCUUACAAGGACACCAGUCAUAUUGGAUUAGGGCCCACCCUGAAAAAAAAACAGAGCACCUCAUUUUAACCUAAGCAAUGCUUUAAAGACCUUAUCUUCAAAUAUAGUCACAUUCUCAAGUACUGGGGCUUAGGACUUACACAAAUUUUGGGAAGACACAAUUCAACCUAUACACUAAUUUAAAAAGUAAUUGGUAUAUUAUUGGUAAUACAGACACAAAAACUGGGGCAAGCCUGACUAGAGUAGAAAGAUAUGUGGCAAAUAGCAAUAGGAGGGUAGGUGAAAUAACUUCAAUGAUACCUUAAUUAUUGAUUGUUCACUGUGUACUGGGCAUUGUAUUAAGAUAUCUUGACUGUCUCACGAAAUCAUUGAUUUAAAUAUUGAUUUAAUGUGGCAUCAAGUUUGGGAAAACAUUGAAUCAUGACAAGCUGCGGACUUUGGGUAGACAUAAGGAAUGAUUUCAAGGUAGGAAAAUGACACGAGGAAGAGUAUUUUAUUUAUUUAUUAUUAUUAUUAUUAUUAUUAUUAUUAUUAUUAUUAUUAUUAUUAUUUUGAGAUGGAGUCUCGCUCUGUUGCCCAGGCUGGAGUGCAGUGGCACAAUCUCGGCUCACUGCGACCUCCGCCUCUUGGGUUCAAGUGAUUCUCCUGCCUCAGCCUCCCGAGUAGCUGGGAUUACAGGUGUGCACCACCAUGCCUGGCUAAUUUUGUAUUUUUAGUGGAGACGGGGUUUCCCCAUGUUGGCCAGGCUGGUCUCAAACUGCUGACGUCAGAUGAUCCACUGGCCUCAGCCUCCUUACAGGCGUGAGGCACAGUGCCUGGCCAUUUAUUUUUAUUAUUUUUUUUGAGACGGAGUCUGACUCUGUCACUCAGGCUAGAGUGCAGUGGCAUGAUCUCGACUCACUGCAACCUCUGCCUCCCGGGUUCAAGUGAUUCUUUUGCCUCAGCCUCCUGAGUAGCUGGGACUACAGACAUGCACCACCACGCCUGGCUAAUUUUUGUAUUUUUAAUAGAGAUGGGUUUCACCAGUUGGCUAGGCUGGUCUCAAACUCCUGAACUGUAAUCUGCUUGCCUCAGCCUCCCAAAGUGCUAGGAUUAGAUGCAUGAGCCACUGUGCCCGGCCACAGGAAGGGUAUUUUAGGAAGAUUAGUUUGGUAACAGAAUGGAUUAGUGGGCCAGGCACAGUGGCUCAUCCCUGUAAUCCCAGCACUUCGGGAGGCGGAGGCGGGUGGAUCACUUGAGGUCAGGAGUUCGAGAUCAGCCUGGCUAACAUGGUGAAACCCUGUCUCUACUAAAAAUACAAAAAUUAGCUGGGCAUGAUAAUGGGUGCCUGUAAUCCCAGCUACUCGGGAGGCUGAGGCAGGAGAAUCGCUUGAACCUGGGAGGCGGAGGUUGCAAUGAGCCUUGCCAUUGCACUCCAGUCUGGAAGAUAACAGUGAAACUCUGUCUCAAAAAAAAAAAAAAAAAAGAAUGGAUUAGUGUCAGUUUAAUUUCAGGGAUCAGCAAACUUUUCUGUGAAGGACUAGAAAGUAAAUAUUUUGGGGCAUACAUAUGGUCUCUGUUGCAAAUACUGAACUCUGUCAUUAUAAUGUGAAAGCAGUGACAGACAAUAACUAAAUGAAUGAGCAUGGCAGCUGCUAAAUCUCAGGUUUAAGCUAAAGCUACCUUCUUACAUAUUUUAAGUUCAGCCUAAAGGUUUCUUUGUACAUUGUGAACUACAACCUAAAUGGAAUUGUAAACAGACUGUAGCCUACUCUUGUGCCAAUCACUGUUUCGGCCAAUCAAACAUGGCCAACUGUUCAAACUGUUCAAAUAGGGCAAAUGCCGAGCUACAAGCAAUCCGGCUGUUUCUGUACCUCAUUUCCAUUUUCUGUAUGUCACUUUCCUUUUUCUGACCACGUGGCUGCUCUAGAGUCUCUGAGGAUACUCUAGCUCGGGAGGCUGUCUGAUUCAUGAAUCAUUUUUUUGCUCAAUUAACUGUUUUAAAUUUAAUUCGGCUGAAGUUUUUCUUUUAACUCAGUGUACCAAUAAAACUUAUGUACAAGGAAAAUUGCAAUGUUCCCAACACAAAGAAAAGAUAAAUGUUUGAGGUGAAGGAUAUCCAAAUUAUACUGAUUUGAUCAUUACACAUUGUAUACAGGUAUUAAAAUAACACACAUACCCCCCCAAAUAUGAACAACUAUUAUAUAUUAGUUAAAAAACCCUUGAUGUACAAGAACAGGUGGUGGGCUAGAUUUGGCUGAUUGGCCACUGUGUGGUGACUCCUGGAGUAGACCAUGUAGAAGGGACAGUAGCAGAUAAAAACUGGAGGUUCAAGCCAAGUUAGGAAGAAAAUACGGCAAUAAUUAAUAUCUGCAGUGAGGAGGGCCAGAAUUAAGCUGGGCCAAUGUGAUGGAAAUGGAGAUAUAUUGGAGCCCUUUUAGGGUAAAAGGACUGCAGACCAGGUGAUGACUGGAAUGCAGAACUUGAAGUGGAGAAAAUGAAAGAUUUUGGGGAUUCUGAGCAGGGAAGUGGGGAAAGGGCAGGGCAGUGCCACCGACAUAAAUGGAUACAUCCAUGAACUGGCCAUUUGCCUGGAUGCUCCCAAAUCCUUUUCUGCUCUUACCCUCUCUAACUCAUAUCACGUGAAACUACUUGCCCCCUGGCUUCUGAGUGGGUUCUGGCAAUGGAAGUGUAAACCAAAAAUAAAAUUCUAAGACCCCUCCUCUUGGCCAAGGGCAUUCCAGAAUUAACCUGAAAAACUAGCUCAGGCCAUGAUGGAAGAGAGGGUUGGAAAUGCCUCGUUAUACCCUCUUCCCUUUUGGAAUUCAGGAAAAGCCCGACCAGCAUUGACCAACACAGAUCUUAAGUCUGAUCAGAAACAUUUACAAUCUACUCUCUCAGAAGCCCGCUACCUGGAUGCUUCAAGUGCAGGAUAAAACCUUGGUUUACACAACCCCUCACUGUAACCCAGACAUUCCUUUCUACUGAUAGUAACACUUUCAACCUGAUGCCAAUCAGAUAAUGGUUUCUUUUUUCUUUUUUUGAAGCAGAGUUUCACUCUUGUUGCCCAAGCUGGAGUGCAGUGGCGUGAUCUUGGCUUACCGCAACCUCUGCUUCGCGGGUUCAAGCGAUUCUCCUGCCUCAGCCUCCUUGGUAGCUGGGUUUACAGGCAUGCACCACGAUGCCUGGCUAAUUUUGUAUUUUUAGUAGAGACAGGCUGGGCACGGUGGCUCACACCUGUAAUCCCAGCACUUUGGAAGACUGAGGCGGGUGGAUCAGGAGUUUGAGACCAGCCUGACCAACAUGGUGAAACCCCGUCUCUACUAAAAAUACAAAAAUUAGCCAGGCAUGGUGGUGUGUGCCUGUAGUCCCAGCUACUCAGGAGGCUGAGGCAGGAGAACUGCUUGAACCUGGGAGGUGGAGGUUGCAGUGAGCCGAGAUCAUGCCACUGCACUCCAGCCUGGGUGACAGAGUGAGACUCCAUCUCAAGAAAAAAAAAAUAACUAAAACAAAUUAGCCGCGCAUGGUGGUGUACACCUUUGGUCCCAGCUACUAGGGUGGCUGAGGUGGG